AGUGAACGCUGGCGGUAGGCCUAACACAUGCAAGUCGAACGGCAGCACAGUAAGAGCUUGCUCUUACGGGUGGCGAGUGGCGGACGGGUGAGGAAUACAUCGGAAUCUACUUUUUCGUGGGGGAUAACGUAGGGAAACUUACUCUAAUACCGCAUACGACCUACGGGGGAAAGCAGGGGAUCUUCGGACCUUGCGCGAUUGAAUGAGCCGAUGUCGGAUUAGCUAGUUGGCGGGGUAAAGGCCAACCAAGGCGAGGAUCCGUAGCUGGUCUGAGAGGAUGAUCAGCCACACUGGAACUGAGACACGGUCCAGACUCCUACGGGAGGCAGCAGUGGGGAAUAUUGGACAAUGGGCGCAAGCCUGAUCCAGCCAUACCGCGUGGGUGAAGAAGGCCUUCGGGUUGUAAAGCCCUUUUGUUGGGAAAGAAAAGCAGCAGGUUAAUACCCCGCUGUUCUGACGGUACCCAAAGAAUAAGCACCGGCUAACUUCGUG
rnacentral:rRNA from 1 species